rnacentral:rRNA from 1 species
CCUACGGGUGGCAGCAGUGGGGAAUAUUGCACAAUGGGGGAAACCCUGAUGCAGCGACGCCGCGUGAAGGAAGAAGUAUUUCGGUAUGUAAACUUCUAUCAGCAGGGAAGAAAGUGACGGUACCUGAGUAAGAAGCCCCGGCUAACUACGUGCCAGCAGCCGCGGUAAUACGUAGGGGGCAAGCGUUAUCCGGAUUUACUGGGUGUAAAGGGAGCGUAGACGGCGGAGCAAGUCUGAUGUGAAAGGCAGGGGCUUAACCCCUGGACUGCAUUGGAAACUGUUUAGCUGGAGUGCCGGAGAGGUAAGCGGAAUUCCUAGUGUAGCGGUGAAAUGCGUAGAUAUUAGGAGGAACACCAGUGGCGAAGGCGGCUUACUGGACGGUAACUGACGUUGAGGCUCGAAAGCGUGGGGAGCAAACAGGAUUAGAUACCCCUGUAGUC